rnacentral:lncRNA from 1 species
CCUUAGGCCCAAACAACUCAAUCAACACCCAAUUUACCACAAUCCAGCCAAUCAGUUACAAACACAAGUAAUGAGGUUCAAACACAAUCAAGAGCAAUUACAUCAAGUAUAGCAACUAGCAGUUAAACAGAAUUAUUCACUUAGGCAAACCAUUUACAAUAUACACACCCAAACAAUGUCACAUAGAUGCAUAUGAUGCAUGCCUGUCCUACUGGCCAUGAGCUCACGCGUCGGUUAUGUUGCCAGACCCGACUCGGAUAAGCGGGAUUAGACCACCAUCCUUAUCCGUAGGUUCCAUAGACAAGCGGGAAUUAAACCACCAUCCUUGCCCGGAACACGCAAGCGGGAUUAAACCACCGUCCUUGCCUCCACAGUAAGCGGGAUUAAACCACCAUCCUUACUGGGUACAUAAAAUAAUAUGCAAGCGGGAUCACACCACCGUCCUUGCUGAACAAUUUAUCAAUACGUGAGCGGGAUAAAACCACCGUCCUCACUGCAGGCGGGACAAAACCACCAUCCCUGCAUAAUGGUUUACGCACUGAGCAAGCGGGACUAGACCCACGCCCCUACC